AACAAACGCUGGCGGCGUGCCUAAUACAUGCAAGUCGAACGGGGAAAGCUUUCGGGUGAGUACUAGUGGCGCACGGGUGAGUAACGCGUGGAUAAUCUGCCUUAGAGUGGGGGAUAACUAGUCGAAAGAUUAGCUAAUACCGCAUAAGACCACAAGAACUGCGGUUCAAGAGGUCAAAGGUUUUUCGCUCUAAGAUGAGUCCGCGUAAGAUUAGCUAGUUGGUGAGGUAACGGCUCACCAAGGCAACGAUCUUUAACUGGUCUGAGAGGAUGAUCAGUCACACUGGAACUGAGACACGGUCCAGACUCCUACGGGAGGCAGCAGUAGGGAAUAUUGCACAAUGGAGGAAACUCUGAUGCAGCGACGCCGCGUGAGUGAUGAAGGCCUUCGGGUCGUAAAGCUCUGUCGCAGGGGAACAACACAAUGAAUGUACCCUGUAAGAAAGGAUCGGCUAACUUCGUGCCAGCAGCCGCGGUAAUAC
rnacentral:rRNA from 1 species